rnacentral:rRNA from 1 species
UACGUAGGGCGCAAGCGUUAUCCGGAAUUAUUGGGCGUAAAGAGCUCGUAGGCGGUUUGUCGCGUCUGCCGUGAAAGUCCGGGGCUCAACUCCGGAUCUGCGGUGGGUACGGGCAGACUAGAGUCCGGUAGGGGAGCGUGGAAUUCCUGGUGUAGCGGUGAAAUGCGUAGAUAUCGAGAGGAACACCUGCGGCGAAGACGGGUUGCUGGGCUGACACUGACGCUGAGGCGCGAAAGCCAGGGGAGCGAACGGG